rnacentral:rRNA from 1 species
UCCUACGGGGGGCAGCAGUGAGGAAUAUUGGUCAAUGGGCGGGAGCCUGAACCAGCCAAGUCGCGUGAGGGAAGACGGUCCUAUGGAUUGUAAACCUCUUUAGGCGGGGAGCAAUGCCGGGCACGCGUGCCCGGAGGGAGAGUACCCGCAGAAUAAGCAUCGGCUAACUCCGUGCCAGCAGCCGCGGUAAUACGGAGGAUGCGAGCGUUAUCCGGAUUUAUUGGGUUUAAAGGGUGCGUAGGCGGAUUUUUAAGUCAGCGGUAAAAUGUCCGGGCUCAACCCGUGCCGGCCGUUGAAACUGGGGG